UUUAGGACAUAGAAGAAUUUUCCAGCAUCAACUUCUUCUCUUUCUUCCACGGGCAUUCUUCUCAAUGGUAACUUCUCCUCCUCUAAAACAUUUCUUCCUCAUCUUCCCUCUUAUUCUUCUUUUCCUUUCUUUUUGGAAUUUUUAGGGCUAGACUGCUAGGGUUUGUGAAUAACUCUAAAAAUAAGCAGAAGUUAUUUUUUUAUUAUAAAGUUAUGGUUUUACGGAAUAUUAGAUUUCUUGAAUAUUUAGGGAUUUAACUAAUUUUCUACUUUGAUAUGUAUGAUAGUUUCAACAUUUGUUUUUUUUUGAAAUUUUAGGUAUUGCAAAAAAGAAAAAAGUACUCCUUAACCAGAAAUUUAUGCUUAAUCUUCUAUCUUUAGAUGUUUCUAGCCCUUUUUGGUUUGUCGUUUUCUUAAUAUUUUGUAUCAUUAUGUUUUAUGUUCAAAUACUAAAUAUGCUAGGGUUGUAUUUGAAACUUUCUAUGUUAGGCAGAGAUGUCUAUAGAGAUUAAUGAGGAGGCGAUUGAUGAUUUAGAGAUUAGUUCUUCAGUCCCAAUAAAACGAGUUAAAAAAAAUACUUUUGUUAGUUGGAAUACUUUUUAAAAAUUACCUCUUGCUAGCAAUGGUGAAAGAGGCAAAGCGCAAUAUAAAGUCUAUAAGAUGAUCUAUGUGGCAACUCUAGGUAUGGAACUUCAAAUUUGAAGCGACAUAUUGAUACACACAUAGAUAAUAGACAAGAGCGUAUGAGUGAGCCAAUUGAUCAAGCAAUUUAUCGUGAGAAAUUGUCCGUGACAAUUCUGAAGCAUAGUUAUCCUUUCAGCUUUGCCGAGCAUCAAGGAAACAGGGAUAUCCACUUGCAUUUAAAUCCAAAGGUGAAAACUAUUUUAAGAAAUAUCGCCAAGUUAGUUGAUACUGAUUUUAAAUAUGGCCUCUCUGAUGAGGAAUAGAAAAAGUUAGAGACUAUUGCUAAGUUUUUCAAGCCAUUUUAUGACACCACUACAUUGUUUUCUAGAAGCAAAUACCCAACUGCUAAUUUGUAUCUACCUAAUGUGUGAAAAUUUCAAAUGUUGUUAGAGGAAGAAAGAGAUGGUAGUGAACCAAUUAUGAAUGAUAUGGCUACAUUAAUGUUAAGAAAGUUUAAAAAAUAUUGGAGGUCUUACAGUAAGAUCUUAUCACUUGAUCAUGUGACUACUGAUGCAAAGGUAAAAGUUGUUGAAGAUCAUUUGCAAUUAUUGUUCAACGAAUACCUUGUGCCUUCGACCUCAAUUUCCUUAUCGGGGGAGCAUGUUUAUGGUAGAAAUAUCAAUGAAGCAAGAGAUGGGCUUGAGGAGUUUGACGUAUUUGAAAACCAGUUGGAGUCUGGUAGAGAUAAAACACAAUUACAUUUGUACUUGGAGGAGCCUAAUCUUGACCGUAAAGUAAAUCCAAAUUUGGAUGUACUUGUUUUUUUGGAAGGAAAGUAGACUAAGGUUCCCAGAACUCUUAUUGAUGGCACGAGAUGUCUUGAGUUUACCUAUUACCACCGUAGCCUCAGAAUCUACCUUUGCAUGGGAGGUCGCAUUAUUGGGAAGUUUCAAAGUUCUAUUUUACCUGCAAAUGCGGAGGCAAAGUUAUGUAUUAGAGAUUGGCUUUGCGGGCAAGAAGUAAGAUUAAAAUGGAUCAGAUACUGAGGAGGAUGAAAUUGCGGUAGACCUUCAGCUGUAUCUUGAUAAACUUGAUUCGCAUUGAUAGAUUUGUUAUGGAGUAAGCAAGAAAAAAUUAUUGAAGGAUGUUCUGGAUUUUGUUGUUAUGCUUGGGAAAGUUGCAUUUGUUGCCUAGUCUUUGUGGUUUAUUAUGUUUCUGCAACAUUAUGUAUCUACUAUUUCUAUUUUGCAAUAUUAUGUAUCUAUUUUAUGACUUCAUCUGCAAUACUAUUGAGUUAUUUUUUAUUGAAUAAUAUGAAAAUGGUGGAA